AUUGAACGCUGGCGGCAGGCCUAACACAUGCAAGUCGAGCGGAGCGGCGGACGGGUGAGUAAUGCCUAGGAAUCUGCCUGGUAGUGGGGGAUAACGUCCGGAAACGGGCGCUAAUACCGCAUACUAUCAGAUGAGCCUAGGUCGGACUAGCCAGUUGGUGGGGUAAAGGCCUACCAAGGCGACGAUCCGUAACUGGUCUGAGAGGAUGAUCAGUCAGACUAGAACGUAGACAAGGUCCAGACUCCUCCGGGAGUGAGCAGUGGGAAAUAUUGGACAAUGGGCGAAAGCAUGAUCCAGCCAUGCCGCGUGUGUGAAGAAGGUCUUCGGAUUGUAAAGCACUUUAAGUUGGGAGGCGUUACCCGCAGGAGAAGCACCGGCUAACUCCGUGCCAGCAGCCGCGGUAAUAC
rnacentral:rRNA from 1 species